UACGGUCAGAUCACGUUGAAACACCGCUCCUCGUCCAACUACCGAAUUUAAGCAACGUCGAACCUGGUCAGUACCUAGAUGGGUGACCUCUUGGGAAUAUUAGGUGCUGUAU